rnacentral:piRNA from 1 species
UNUGCCAGAGAGCUUAGGAAGUCUGAAGCA